rnacentral:rRNA from 1 species
UACGUAGGGUGCGGGCGUUAAUCGGAAUUACUGGGCGUAAAGCGUGCGCAGGCGGUUCGCCAAGUCAGGUGUGAAAUCCCCGGGCUUAACCUGGGAAUUGCGCUUGAAACUAGCGGGCUUGAGUGUGGCAGAGGGGGGUGGAAUUCCACGUGUAGCAGUGAAAUGCGUAGAGAUGUGGAGGAACACCGAUGGCGAAGGCAGCCCCCUGGGUCAACACUGACGCUCAUGCACGAAAGCGUGGGGAGCAAACAGG